AUUGAACGCUGGCGGCAUGCCUUACACAUGCAAGUCGAACGGCAGCACGGGGCAACCUGGUGGCGAGUGGCGAACGGGUGAGUAAUGCAUCGGAACGUACCUUUCAGUGGGGGAUAACGUAGCGAAAGUUACGCUAAUACCGCAUAUUCUGUGAGCAGGAAAGCAGGGGAUCGCAAGACCUUGCGCUGAUUGAGCGGCCGAUGUCAGAUUAGCUAGUUGGUGAGGUAAAGGCUCACCAAGGCGACGAUAUGUAGCGGGUCUGAGAGGAUGAUCCGACACACUGGAACUGAGACACGGUCCAGACUCCUACGGGAGGCAGCAGUGGGGAAUUUUGGACAAUGGGGGCAACCCUGAUCCAGCCAUGCCGCGUGAGUGAAGAAGGCCUUCGGGUUGUAAAGCUCUUUCGGCCGGGAAGAAAUCGCACGGGCUAAUACCCUGUGUGGAUGACGGUACCGGAAUAAGAAGCACCGGCUAACUACGUGCCAGCAGCCGCCGUAACAC
rnacentral:rRNA from 1 species